AAAAACACACGGCGGAGCCGUUCCCGCAGUCAGAAUUUGUCUAACUCUUCUAGAUCAAAAGUUAUUCAGCGAAAUGUGAGACUUUGUUUGGCAUGCUCUUUUUUUUAGGUGGUUUUUUCCCGGUUUUAUGUGCCGCCCGGCAGAUCUGGCCUGCAGACUUUAGCAGAAAACUUGGCGCAUGUGUUCGCACGACCGCUCCCAAAGUUUUUACAAGCAUAUCUCCAGUAGUUGCUUCGCAAUGAUUUUUUUAGUGACGCCAAAAAACGCCAUUUUCGCGGAAAAUGGACACCUUGGACGGCCAAAAUCACCACUUUUGGCCAUGUUUGGCCCUGCACAUCCAGGAAGCAAAUGAGACUGCUCCGUAUAAAAACUGCCCUAGGGGUGCUUUUAUGCGCGCAUUCCCGUGGUCAAGUCAGAUUUUGGCUAAAUUCAAAUGCCUUGUCUAUAAACACUUUUUUCGACCUAAAUUUUCACCUGUUUUGUCCCGAAAUGAUAGCACCCAUUCUUUAUUUGCCUAUAUAUCGCGAAGGAGGCAACUUUUUUCCUGUUAAGUAUAGAUAAAAAAUUUAAUUCGGCGUUUUAGCGCACGAGGAACAAAAGUCUCCAUACAAGCUACCCUCGGUUUCUAAUGACUUUUUGAGUUAGGGAAGCGUGGAUCUUCUUUUUUUCUUGUUUCCAGGACUUCACAUGAACUUCCAACUCAACUCGAAUUGUCAUCCCGGGCCCACCACGCAUCGAAACGACACUUUUCUCGGAACUGGCGAAUAAAAAAUAGGUCACCAGAUGCGCAAGAGUCUGGGAUGACAGAAUAUCAAAACAAUAACAGAAUCGUUAGUACUUUUUUUGUCACCAGCGCCCUUUUUCUGUUUUCGCGUACAUAAUCGAGCAUAACUUUAUCAAUUUAUACCAUAUCGACCGAUAUCGAUUGUCACGAUAGUGUACUUUUUUUAGGCGCACAUGAUGGUAAAAAGAACGGCCACCUAUUCCCAGCCGUUCUUAAGCUAUGCUCUUUUAAAGAUUUUACUUUAGAGAUGACACACCCUCUCAUUUCACUCCAUUACAUGCUCUUUUUGCUGAAUUACGUGGCACAGACGCAGAAAAUCAUGGUUCGCAAGUCGAACAUUUUUGAAGAGCGCAUCGAAACGGACAUUUUCUUAAAAUAACAUGGUAUACAAAAAGUGCGUUCUUGAGCCUGUAGCAAACGAUUUGCAUCCAUGACAUCCCAAAAACUUAAAAUAACAUAUCUCGACUCCUAGAAUGAAAUCGACGUGAAUCCUUAGGGCAGUUAGUGUGUUUUAGUAUCAUACUUAACACCACAAAGUUUUACGGGGCACUCUACAAUACUCUUCCCAAGACGCAAGAAAAUGUUCAUUUNNNNNNNNNNNNNNNNNNNNNNNNNNNNNNNNNNNNNNNNNNNNNNNNNNNNNNNNNNNNNNNNNNNNNNNNNNNNNNNNNNNNNNNNNNNNNNNNNNNNGUUGACACCGGCUCAGAACUGGAGCGGACAAGGGGAAUCCGACUGUUUAAUUAAAACAAAGCAUUGUGAUGGCCGGAGACGGUGUUGACACAAUGUGAUUUCUGCCCAGUGCUCUGAAUGUCAAAGUGAAGAGAUUCAACCAAGCGCGGGUAAACGGCGGGAGUAACUAUGACUCUCUUAAGGUAGCCAAAUGCCUCGUCAUCUAACUAGUGACGCGCAUGAAUGGAUUAAUGAGAUUCCCACUGUCCCUAUCUACUGUCUAGCGAACCCACAGCCAAGGGAACGGGCUUGGAAUAAUCAGCGGGGAAAGAAGACCCUGUUGAGCUUGACUCUAGUCUGACGUUGUGAAAUGACUUGGGAGGUGUAGAAUAAGUGGGAGGCUCUGCCGUCUGUGAAAUACCACUACUCUCAAUGUUGUUUUACUUAUACCAUGAUGUAGCAUCUGUGUGGCCUCGCGGUCGCUCAGUUCUAGUUGUAAACUUGGGCUUUUGCCUGGGUGAGCUACCUGGAAGACAUCGUCAGGUGGGGAGUUUGGCUGGGGCGGCACAUCUGUUAAAUGAUAACACAGGUGUCCUAAGGUGAGCUCAAUGAGAACAGAAAUCUCAUGUAGAACAAAAGGGUAAAAGCUCACUUGAUUUUGAUUUUCAGUAUGAAUACAAACCGUGAAAGCGUGGCCUAUCGAUCCUUUAGUUCUUUUGAAUUUUAAGCUAGAGGUGUCAGAAAAGUUACCACAGGGAUAACUGGCUUGUGGCAGCCAAGCGUCCAUAGCGACGUUGCUUUUUGAUUCUUCGAUGUCGGCUCUUCCUAUCAUUGCGAAGUAGAACUCGCCAAUUGUUGGAUUGUUCACCCACUAAUAGGGAACGUGAGCUGGGUUUAGACCGUCGUGAGACAGUUUGGUAUAUACACCCCCUGAGAAUCAGU
rnacentral:rRNA from 1 species